rnacentral:misc_RNA from 1 species
UCUCCGUUGGUGAACCAGCGGAGGGAUCAUUACCGAGUUUACAACUCCCAAACCCAAUGAGAACCAUACCAAACUGUUGCCUCGGCGGGGUCACGCCCCGGGUGCGUCGCAGCCCCGGAACCAGGCGCCCGCCGGAGGGACCAACCAAACUCUUUCUGUAGUCCCCUCGCGGACGUUAUUUUUACAGCUCUGAGCAAAAAUUCAAAAUGAAUCAAAACUUUCAACAACGGAUCUCUCGGUUCUG